AACUUAUCGCUAUAUUCCAAUUAAUGUUGGAAAUAUUCAGCGGCUCGCGACGCCAUGUUUUAUUAACCUUUCAUAAUGUACGAGCUUUAUCUUGUUGUAUUAAAUCAGCUUUAAUGUGGAACGGUUUUGAGA